GUCCACGCCCUAAACGAUGUCUACUAGUUGUCGGGUCUUAAUUGACUUGGUAACGCAGCUAACGCGUGAAGUAGACCGCCUGGGGAGUACGGUCGCAAGAUUAAAACUCAAAGGAAUUGACGGGGACCCGCACAAGCGGUGGAUGAUGUGGAUUAAUUCGAUGCAACGCGAAAAACCUUACCUACCCUUGACAUGGUCGGAAUUCUGCUGAGAGGCGGAAGUGCUCGAAAGAGAGCCGAUACACAGGUGCUGCAUGGCUGUCGU
rnacentral:rRNA from 1 species